GCGGUUUGGAGCGGUUGAUGACGAACAUCUCGUGGCCGCGCUCGUCGCGGAGCUCCUCUAGCUGUGCGAACGUACAGGGGCCGUCCGAGUAGUCGUUGACGAACAGCGCGCCCUCCCCCGGCGGCCCCCGCGCCUUUUUUCGCCUGCGGCGCCGGCGACAGAUCAUGGCGACCAGAAGCAGCGCCGUGAGCGCCAGCAGUGCGAUGGCCGCCGCAAUGGCCGUCUGCGUGGCCAGGCCCAGGGCGCGGAAAGCCAUGCUGCCCGCCUCGGGCCGGGGCUCGCGGCCGGCGGGGCGGGCGGCCGGAGGUGGCGGUUGCGCGGGCUGCUGCGGCUGCUGCCGGGACACGUUGACCAGGAGCCGGAAGGGCACGCGGGCAGCGCCGCCGGCGUUGGAGGCCUCGCACUCGUACUUGCCGGCGUGCGCUAGCGUGAUGUUGCUGAGGAAGAGCAUGCCGCUGCCCGUGUCGGAUGCCGAGUGUCCGCCCAGGCCCAGGGCCCCGCCUUCUAGCUGGGCCUGGGCUCGCGGCCGGCCCUCGCGAGGCUGGGGCACCUUUCUCCAGGUCACCAAUGGCUGUGGGUAGCCGGAGGCUUGGCAGGCAACCCGCAGGUCCUCACCCAGGUUGGCUGUGAGCUCCAGCGGCUGCACGUGGACAGAAGGCGGAAUGCAGAUGAGGCUGCUGUGGGAUACGUCCAGGAGACUCUGGAGCGCCAGGCGCGGGGGCUCUGCACACAUGAUCUUCCUGUCCCUGGAGAUCACUUCUCCGUCGGUCUCUGAGAAAGCACCUGCUCCUCAAGUCUUCCUGCAACAAGUGCCACUGUUUUUAGGAAUCUGGGCGUCCACAUAGACAUCUCACCAGUACUGAAACCUCAUAAGUCCUCUCAGCCUUGUCUUUGGAUGCCCUCUCUUGGGAAUGUCCCCAGUCCUGGUCAGCUGUCUCUCUCCUUUGCAAUUUUGUCUGCCUCCCCUCUGAGAGCCUAAAAGUGUGUAGAACCCUCAACUCUGUUAAGUCACCCUGUGGAGUUCCUGUCUUUUCUGUUUUCCCCCGGCAGGAUGCCUGAGCUGUAUCCCCCAGCACACCCGUUCCCGCAGCCUUCCACUGUGGCUGCAGGCGGUGGUGCAGCCCUUCAGACUGCUGCCCAGUUGCCUGCUGUCAGAGCCCCUCCACACAUGAGCCUGCUCCCUACUGCCACCACCGUGGCGCAGACAGACGCUUUCCGAGGAAGAGGUGAAGCUCCUGCAGUCGCUGAAGUAGGGACAGCAGAUCGUGAGGAAAAAGGGCGCCGAGGUUGGGGGCAUGUCUCUCUUCUUACCAAGCUAGACUGGGUUGCCUUUUCUAACUAUUCCAGACCUACAGGGCGAGGGGCCAUAAUGGAGUAUCCCGCCCCUUUAGACCCCAGGCGCUCACCGGCAG
rnacentral:sRNA from 1 species